UACGGAGGGUGCAAGCGUCGUCCGGAAUCACUGGGCGUAAAGGGCGCGUAGGCGGCUCAUGAAGGCUGUGGUGAAAGUCCGGGGCUCAACCUCGGAUCGGCCGUGGCGACUCGUGGGCUGGAGCACUGUAGAGGCGGGUGGAAUUCCGGGUGUAGCGGUGGAAUGCGUAGAGAUCCGGAAGAACACCGGUGGCGAAGGCGGUCUGCUGGGCAGUUGCUGACACUGAGGCGCGACAGCGUGGGGAGCAAACAGG
rnacentral:rRNA from 1 species